rnacentral:rRNA from 1 species
CCUACGGGAGGCAGCAGUGGGGAAUUUUCCACAAUGGGCGAAAGCCUGAUGGAGCAACGCCGCGUGGGUGAAGAAGGUCUUCGGAUCGUAAAACCCUGUUGUUAGAGAAGAAAGUGCGUGAGAGUAACUGUUCACGUUUCGACGGUAUCUAACCAGAAAGCCACGGCUAACUACGUGCCAGCAGCCGCGGUAAUACGUAGGUGGCAAGCGUUAUCCGGAUUUAUUGGGCGUAAAGGGAACGCAGGCGGUCUUUUAAGUCUGAUGUGAAAGCCUUCGGCUUAACCGGAGUAGGGCAUUGGAAACUGGGAGACUGGAGUGCAGAAGAGGAGAGGGGAACUCCAUGUGUAGCGGUGAAAUGCGUAGAUAUAUGGAAGAACACCAGUGGCGAAAGCGGCUCUCUGGUCUGUAACUGACGCUGAGGUUCGAAAGCGUGGGUAGCAAACAGGAUUAGAUACCCCUGUAGUC